GACGAACGCUGGCGGCGUGCCUAAUACAUGCAAGUAGAACGCUGAAGGAGGAGCUUGCUUCUCCGGAUGAGUUGCGAACGGGUGAGUAACGCGUAGGUAACCUGCCUGGUAGCGGGGGAUAACUAUUGGAAACGAUAGCUAAUACCGCAUAACAGUAGAUAUUGCAUGAUAUCUGCUUGAAAGGUGCAAUUGCAUCACUACCAGAUGGACCUGCGUUGUAUUAGCUAGUUGGUGAGGUAACGGCUCACCAAGGCGACGAUACAUAGCCGACCUGAGAGGGUGAUCGGCCACACUGGGACUGAGACACGGCCCAGACUCCUACGGGAGGCAGCAGUAGGGAAUCUUCGGCAAUGGACGGAAGUCUGACCGAGCAACGCCGCGUGAGUGAAGAAGGUUUUCGGAUCGUAAAGCUCUGUUGUAAGAGAAGAACGAGUGUGAGAGUGGAAAGUUCACACUGUGACGGUAUCUACCAGAA
rnacentral:rRNA from 1 species